UGUCCUAAUCGGAUGGUGUCUCUACAGACU
rnacentral:piRNA from 1 species